rnacentral:rRNA from 1 species
CCUACGGGAGGCAGCAGUAAGGAAUAUUGGACAAUGCCCGCAAGGGUGAUCCAGCCAUGCCGCGUGCAGGAAGAAGGCCCUAUGGGUCGUAAACUGCUUUUACACCGGAGAAAACCUCCCUUCGUGAAGGGAGCUGAUAGUAUGGUGAGAAUAAGCAUCGGCUAACUUCGUGCCAGCAGCCGCGGUAAGACGAAGGAUGCAAGCGUUAUCCGGAUUCAUUGGGUUUAAAGGGAGCGUAGGUGGACUGAUAAGUCAGUGGUGAAAUCUUCGAGCUUAACUCGGAAAUUGCCAUUGAUACUGUUAGUCUUGAGUACAGUUGCUGUGGGCGGAAUAUGACAUGUAGUGGUGAAAUACAUAGAGAUGUCAUAGAACACCGAUUGCGAAGGCAGCUCACAAAGCUGUAACUGACACUGAGGCUCGAAAGUGCGGGGAUCAAACAGGAUUAGAUACCCUGGUAGUCCGCACUGUAAACGAUGAUUACUCGCUGCUAGAGGGCAACUUUUAGUGGCUUAGCGAAAGCGAUAAGUAAUCCACCUGGGGAGUACGCCGGCAACGGUGAAACUCAAAUGAAUUGACGGCUUGAGGAGNGCGAGGCGACGACGAGGGAGAGG